rnacentral:rRNA from 1 species
AGUGAACGUUGGCGGCGUGGAUUAGGCAUGCAAGUCGAGCGAGAACCGUAGCAAUACGGGGACAGCGGCGAAAGGGACAGUAAUGUGUAGGUACCUACCUCCGGGUUCGGGAUAGCUGCGGGAAACUGCAGGUAAUACCGAAUAACGUCUGAGGACCAAAGGUGUGAUUCCACCUGGAGAGGGGCCUGCAUCCUAUUAGCUUGUUGGCGGGGCAACGGCCCACCAAGGCGACGAUGGGUAGCGGGUGUGAGAGCACGACCCGCGUCAUUGGGACUGAGACACUGCCCAGACACCUACGGGUGGCUGCAGUCGUGAAUCUUCGGCAAUGGGCGCAAGCCUGACCGAGCGACGCCGCGUGCGGGAUGAAGGCCUUCGGGUUGUAAACCGCUGUCGUAGAGGAGGAAAUGCAGGGGGGUUCUCCCCUCUGUUUGACCUAUUCUAGGAGGAAGUACGGGCUAAGUUCGUGCCAGCCGCCGCGGUAA